GCUGGUGUAGCUCAACCCGGCAGAGCAGCUGAUUUGUAAUCAGCAGGUUGUGGGUUCAAGUCCCACCACCAGCU
rnacentral:tRNA from 1 species